GGCAAGAUGGCCGAGUUGGUUAUGGCGCCAGGUUAAGGCUUUACCUUAGCAGAUUUUCCUGGUUCCGAAAGGAGCGUGGGUUCGAAUCCCACUCUUGUCA